ACAUCGCGUCGCCACACCUCGACUCUCCUCCGCUCUCCCAUCUGACCCCCCUCCUGCCUACCGCCUCCUCUCUCCUCGUCCGCCGUGCUGCGUCGUCUGCCCCCCACCCCCACCCCUGCCUUUGCCUCUCCCGUCUGCCUCGGCGCCGGCCUUCUCAGUCUCUCGAUUUUGUCCGUUGUCGCCCAUGAAGUACAAUAUUCCCCUCAUUCUCUACGUGGUCCUGCAGCUCGUGGCGUUCAUUCUGCUGCUGGCGGGGACACCCAGUGACAUAUUUAUCCGUACCGAUCAUGGCCCUGGCUACCCGACUAUUUGCCUCACGCUGUGGGGUUUUAAGACCGACUGCAGUUCACGCCAUCACACUCUUACGAUCGAUCGCACUUUUGGUGCCUGUCCACCACGAGUUCACCGUUUUCGCGCAGCACAGGCGUUCACUAUCAUUUCCAUUCUUGUCUACGGCGCCGCGUUCAUCGCAGGCCUUACGUUGCUGUUCUGCUGCUCCUUCCUCCGCUUGGUCUGCCUGGCGCUGAACAUCGUUGGAAGCGUCACCCUGUGCGUUGUGUGGGCGGCCAUGGCGGUGACGUACAACAAGGCCGAUGGACCGCAGUGCACCAGACUCUCCGAGGUAUACAAAUAUGGCUCCGGCUUCGUUCUCUUUCUGAUCGCUUGGUUACUGGAUAUCAUCAACAUCAUCAUCUUGCUUCUCCCUUAUACCGGCGACCUUGUGCAUGAAGACGAAAAGCCGGAGUCACAGACAGCGCCGGAAGAGAUGGAGAUGGCACAAGAAAACGCAGGGCGAGCUUGAUAGCGGCGCGGCCCCUCCCCCACACUGGCGUCCUCGUGGUGGAGCUGGUGUCGGCGAGGAUGAGGGUGCGCAAGCUGCGGGUUCCCGUGUGUGCCCUUCGCCGGCCCAGCCCUCUCGCUCCCUGUCGUGUGUGCGUGCGCGUGCGCGGGCAGCAGCGGCACCGCCGUGCACAGGCACCGCUGCCGAGGGGCGAUUGCAGCACUUCCCCCACGCCUGCGUGUGAUACACGGCGACUGCGUGUGUGCAGGCGCAUGCGCCCCUGCGACCCUCCUCCCUCUUCUUCCGUGAGCGGCCCCCGCGACCAUCGCUCACUUACGCUGCCGUUGUUCGCGUGCCUCUGUUUUCGUGCCUUGUUUGCGGGUGCCGCCCCACGCUCUCGCCUUACUCGACGCUCGUCUCUUUCGAGCUCGCUCAUGCUUGCUGUUCUGCUCUGCGCGCAGAGAGAGGUGCGUGGUGUGCGCGUAUGCUGGCGGAGGCGGCUGGCUGUGGCGACGACGCAGGCACGUGCAGCAGCCGUGCAGCACAGCAGGCGCGUACACGCAUACACACCUAUACACGCGGGAACGGGACUGCAGGCGAGGGGCAGGACCGGAGAAUGCGCGGCGGCACGAGCGAGUGCGACGGUGGAGCGGAGCAGCGGCGGCGCUGCUUUCCUGCUCGCUCCUCUGGCGUCUGGCUCGAGCCCGUCUGCGUGUGCGCCCCCUGUGUCGCUGUGUCUCCUCGCCUCUCUCCUGCGCGAUUUGUUUCGAUGGCUUCGUUGCUGACGCACCCCACCGAGUCCUCCAGGCUCCGCCGUGUGGAGUUGCCACGCCGUAUGUGACGGGUUGCAGCGCACCGACGCGACUGUGGGGAGAGAAGCACUGCAUCCAGGUCGACUACACUGCAGGGCCUCACAGGGCCCUGACCGGAGGCUGGGCAGCAUUCUCCCUCGGCUCGUGCGGCACGUAGAGCCACCGCUCCCACGAACGCCCUGCUACCCUUUGCUACCCCCUCCCCACCGACGGAGGCCAGCGCCUCCGUCAUGGAGCACGACCCUGAGGGGGCGGCCCCGCUGGGAGCGCGGCGUGCCGUGCGCCCCGGUGCGUGUGGCGCCGAUGCAGCGGCAGGACGGCUCGUCCUCGACGACGCGGAUGUGGCCGCCGUGCCACAGGGCGUAGGCGGGCCGUGGCUGUACGCGCGCAUCUGCCGGCUUGUGCGUGGUGGCGUGGAGGCGGUGAGAAGGAACUGCAUGCCUCGCGGACUCGGACAGACAUGCGAAUCAGCACACCUAAACAUAAGCAAAACGACGCGUGCAUAUAUGCACCGAUAUCUAUAUCUAUAUAUAUAUGGCUGUGUGGAUGUCUGUAACGACAAAACCGCCAAACGCCUGUUAUUACGCUGUCCUCGCCUGGCAGGGCGGAGGGCGUGCGUGCGCUUUUUACUCCUCUCUUGCUUGUCCUGUGUUUCCUUUGCGGCACGCCUUCCUGCGCGCGUGCCUGCUCGUUAUCAUGCUUGCUUCCGUUGUCCG
rnacentral:misc_RNA from 1 species